rnacentral:rRNA from 2 species
GACGAACCGUGCGAACGUUGUUCGGAAUCACUGGGCUUAAAGGGCGCGUAGGCGGGCCUCCCAGUCCGGGGUGAAAGCUUUCGGCUUAACCGGAAAAGUGCCUUGGAUACUGGAGGUCUGGAGGGAGGUAGGGGCAAUCGGAACUUCCGGUGGAGCGGUGAAAUGCGUUGAUAUCGGAAGGAACGCCGGUGGCGAAAGCGGAUUGCUGGACCUUUUCUGACGCUGAGGCGCGAAAGCCAGGGGAGCGAACGGG